rnacentral:lncRNA from 1 species
CUUAUAAUUUCUAUAUAUGAAGGUCCUCAAAUGAUGGGGUUGAGCAAGAUUGUCUUUAAGGUCAUGAAAUGCUCUAAGUCAGACUCCAAACUCCAGACAUGGAAUGCUUGUAUCUUCCUAAUUAUAUUGAUGAAGCACUGGUAUGACACAGGGAACAAGCAGUGCUGCUCACACAUCACCGGUGCAGCCGUAACCAUAGUAACCCCAAAGAGAAAGGGUCUUUGGAUCAUCAACGUGAUCAAAGGUAAGAUAGUUCACGUGCCUCUGGAAUAG